CGAAGUUAAAAGAGCAAUACAUGAUUUGGUCCAAGGCCACUACAAAGAAGCAUGGACUGGAUGGGGAAAAGUGCCUAGAGAUGUACGACAGAGAAUGUUCACAGCUUUUAGGGGUAUUUACACAUGGGAGUCGCAGCAUGAGUCUAUGAUAUUAUGUCAUUUCAAUCAUGAGGCGAGUGAAUGGUUGAAAAAAGUAACUUGCACGUACACUUUACAAGGCUCCUCUUGAGUGGAUGACCCCUUCAGUUUGGGAAAGUUUGAAGAAAUAUUGGGGGUCGAAAGAGUUCAAGUAAAUAAGUGAGCAAAACAAAAAGAACAGGGCAGUAAAUGGAACUUCUUCGUUUGUUAUUUAUCGUGGUGGAUCUGUCAGCACUGCUGUGCACCGCCUCAGGCUUAUUGAAGAAUUGGGUAGGGAACCGACACCGAAAGAAUGUUUCAUCCGCACUCACGGGAAGAAGGAUGGCACUCUCGAGGGU